rnacentral:rRNA from 1 species
GGAGGAAACUCUGAUGCAGCGACGCCGCGUGAGUGAAGAAGGUCUUCGGAUCGUAAAACUCUGUCCUUGGUGAAGAUAAUGACGGUAGCCAAGGAGGAAGCCCCGGCUAACUACGUGCCAGCAGCCGCGGUAAUACGUAGGGGGCGAGCGUUGUCCGGAUUUACUGGGCGUAAAGGGUGAGUAGGCGGUAAUAUGUGUCAGAUGUAAAAGGCUAAGGCUUAACCAUAGUUAGCAUUUGAAACUGUAUUACUUGAGUGCAGGAGAGGUAAGUGGAAUUCCUAGUGUAGCGGUGAAAUGCGUAGAUAUUAGGAGGAACACCAGUGGCGAAGGCGACUUACUGGACUGUAACUGACGCUGAGUCACGAAAGCGUGGGUAGCAAACAGGAUUAGAUACCCUGGUAGUCCACGCCGUAAACGAUGAGUGCUAGGUGUUGGGUAGCGAUACUCAGUGCCGAAGUAAACACAAUAAGCACUCCGCCUGGGGAGUAC